rnacentral:rRNA from 1 species
UGAGGAAUAUUGGUCAAUGGGCGCGAGCCUGAACCAGCCAAGUAGCGUGAAGGAUGAAGGUCCUACGGAUUGUAAACUUCUUUUAUACGGGAAUAAAGUGGUCCACGUGUGGAUUUUUGCAUGUACCGUAUGAAUAAGCAUCGGCUAACUCCGUGCCAGCAGCCGCGGUAAUACGGAGGAUGCGAGCGUUAUCCGGAUUUAUUGGGUUUAAAGGGAGCGCAGACGGGGGAUUAAGUCAGUUGUGAAAGUUUGCGGCUCAACCGUAAAAUUGCAGUUGAUACUGGUUCCCUUGAGUGCAGUUGAGGCAGGCGGAAUUCGUGGUGUAGCGGUGAAAUGCAUAGAUAUCACGAAGAACCCCGAUUGCGAAGGCAGCCUGCUAAGCUGUAACUGACGUUGAGGCUCGAAAGUGUGGGUAUCAAACAGGAUUAGAUACCCUGGUAGUCCACACGGUAAACGGUGGAUACUCGCUGUUGGCGAUAUACUGUCAGCGGCCAAGCGAAAGCAUUAAGUAUCCCACCUGGGGAGUACGCCGGCAACGGUGAAACUCAAAGGAAUUGACGGGGGCCCGCACAAGCGGAGGAACAUGUGGUUUAAUUCGAUGAUACGCGAGGAACCUUACCCGGGCUUAAAUUGCAGACGAAUUACCUGGAAACAGGUAAGCCGCAAGGCGUCUGUGAAGGUGCUGCAUGGUUGUCGUCAGCUCGUGCCGUGAGGUGUCGGCUUAAGUGCCAUAACGAGCGCAACCCUCGUGGCCAGUUACUAGCAGGUAACGCUGAGGACUCUGGCCAGACUGCCAUCGUAAGAUGCGAGGAAGGUGGGGAUGACGUCAAAUCAGCACGGCCCUUACGUCCGGGGCUACACACGUGUUACAAUGGGAGGUACAGAAGGCAGCUACCCGGCGACGGGAUGCCAAUCUCCAAAGCCUCUCUCAGUUCGGACUGGAGUCUGCAACCCGACUCCACGAAGCUGGAUUCGCUAGUAAUCGCGCAUCAGCCACGGCGCGGUGAAUACGUUCCC